ACUCCUACGGGGAGGCAGCAGUGGGGAAUAUUGCACAAUGGGGGAAACCCUGAUGCAGCCAUGCCGCGUGUGUGAAGAAGGCCUUCGGGUUGUAAAGCACUUUCAGUAGGGAGGAAGGUAGUGUAGUUAACACCUGCAUUAUUUGACGUUACCUACAGAAGAAGCACCGGCUAACUCCGUGCCAGCAGCCGCGGUAAUACGGAGGGUGCGAGCGUUAAUCGGAAUUACUGGGCGUAAAGCGCAUGCAGGCGGCCUGUUAAGUCAGAUGUGAAAGCCCGGGGCUUAACCUCGGAAUUGCAUUUGAAACUGGCAGGCUAGAGUCUUGUAGAGGGGUAGAAUUUCAGGUGUAGCGGUGAAAUGCGUAGAGAUCUGAAGGAAUACCAGUGGCGAAGGCGGCCCCCUGGACAAAGACUGACGCUCAGAUGCGAAAGCGUGGGAGCAAACAGGAUUAGAUACCCCGUGGUAGGUCAGUC
rnacentral:rRNA from 1 species